rnacentral:rRNA from 1 species
AAAAGAAACCAACAGGGAUUGCCCCAGUAACGGCGAGUGAAGCGGCAACAGCUCAAAUUUGAAAUCUGGCCCCCGGGUCCGAGUUGUAAUUUGCAGAGGAUGCUUCGGGCGAGGUGCCUUCCGAGUUCCCUGGAACGGGACGCCACAGAGGGUGAGAGCCCCGUCUAGUCGGACACCGAGCCCGUGUGAAGCUCCUUCGAAGAGUCGAGUAGUUUGGGAAUGCUGCUCAAAAUGGGAGGUAUAUGUCUUCUAAAGCUAAAUAUUGGCCAGAGACCGAUAGCGCACAAGUAGAGUGAUCGAAAGAUGAAAAGCACUUUGAAAAGAGGGUUAAAAAGUACGUGAAAUUGUUGAAAGGGAAGCGCCCAUGACCAGACUUGGGCCCGGUGAAUCACCCGGCGUUCUCGCCGGUGCACUUUGCCGGGCACAGGCCAGCAUCAGUUUGGCGCGGGGGAGAAAGGCUCCGGGAAUGUGGCUCCCUCGGGAGUGUUAUAGCCCGCUGCGCAAUACCCUGCGCCGGACUGAGGUACGCGCAUCGCAAGGAUGCUGGCGUAAUGGUCAUCAGCGACCCGUCUUGAAACACGGACCAAGGAGUCGUCUUCGUAUGCGAGUGUUCGGGUGUCAAACCCCUACGCGGAAUGAAAGUGAACGCAGGUGAGAGCUUCGGCGCAUCAUCGACCGAUCCUGAUGUUCUCGGAUGGAUUUGAGUAGGAGCAUACGGGGCCGGACCCGAAAGAAGGUGAACUAUGCCUGUAUAGGGUGAAGCCAGAGGAAACUCUGGUGGAAGCUCGCAGCGGUUCUGACGUGCGAAUCGAUCGUCAAAUAUGGGCAUGGGGGCGAAAGACUAAUCGAACCUUCUAGUAGCUGGUUUC